CGAACACUACAGUUCAAACAGGAGUCAGACACUGAUGGUGAGUGUAGUCCUGCGGCAGCCAGCCUUGGUGAGCCACAGUCUGUUCUGCCCUUCAAAUCUCAGAGGUAUUUUAUUUGAGGACCAGUGUCAGCACAAAUCUUUCUGUCUUCAGCCUGCUGCAAGCCACAGAUGCUACCUGCAGGACCAGGGAUCAGUCUAGAGUUGAUUACAUCUAAAGAAACAGUGGGUGAGGAAAGUAACUAUAGCUGAAAAGGUUUCCAAGUUCUGAUUAAGAUCUCAAAUGUUGGUCUUAGUCUGCUAAUAUCUUUUGCCUGUGAGUGAUGGUGCUGCAGAGUGGAAUGGAUCACAAGCAAAAAGCUGGUACAUCUGCUCUACUCUGAAUUCCGUUAUGUUCACAGUGCCAUCCAGGACUGCUUGUCACCUUCUCCAUGAUGGGAUACUUUAAAAAGAAAAAAAGUAGGUAAGCUCUGACCAAGUUUUGCUGCCGAAUGAUGCAAACGUUUAUAAGACACUGCGUUUUAUAAACAGUGGAAAGGACAGAGAAGAACUGCUGUAAACAGAGUCAGAACAGGAGGAAGGCCGUUCAACUAUUGACUACAUGUUUUUGCUGUCAACUUCUCGUUUCAGUUAAUCUCUGGAAAACUAAGGUGUUUCAGCAUAAGUGUCUGUAGUUAUACGCUUGAUCGCUUCAUGAGUGUAUGUAUGGCAAAUAUUUCUGUCAUUAGACUGGGAUAGAUACUGCAGUUAAUUAGUCACUAUUGUGCUUUGUUGCUUCAGCAGCUGCUGAGGACAGUUAGUGAUGGCAUUGCUUUAGGCUGGGAGGGAAGUGAGGAAAAAGGUUGUUGCAGUAAGUGCCUUGCCUCCUGUUUGUAGCUUGUCCGGUUGCAUCUUGCCAGACACACAGACUCCUCCAAGUACUUUCACAAUCAUCUCUUGUCUCUUCAAUUACCACUUCCUCCUCCCCCUGCCUCUCUCUUCCGUUUGACCUUCUGGUAAUUCCUCCGGCGCUAGUUCAGAACGGUGCAGUAGGCUAUACUACCCCCUCCAAUUAAAGAUAUAAGUAUGUUGCACAUUAGAAGUUACCUAACAAGGCUCUAAACCCCCCUCAAAUGAAAGCCCGCAGUCUCAUUGAUCUUGCUUGACCCACUUUGAAUCCCAGAUUUUUGUAGGUUGCAGUUAACUGUCUGUCACAGCAAUAUCUAUCAGGUUUUUGGAACUUUGCUGUUGCUUUGCUUUAUUACAUUGUGCUGUCAGCCAGGAGUAGUAGGCUUAUACUUCCAGAUUCAGGCACAAGCUGAUUUCCUAGGUUCACAUAUUACACUCAGGGUUUAUUUUUAAUUCGUAAAGAUCACUUGAUGUAAUGAUCAGCAAUCAAAGAAUAUGCAAUUAUCACUCUUGCAAACUUUCCUGUGCCUCAGUAAUUAAACCAACAAAUUAGUUAAAGGCUCCAAUGCGGAAGAAGAUUGGUAGACUGUGGUCAAGACACACAUUUACAGAUUUUCCCUUAAGCUGCUUUUCUUGAGAAGCUUUGAUAAAGACCAUAUGAUAUCAAUUAUCAUUAACUCUGUGUGGUUUCUCUGCAUUUGGAGCUCUCAGACGUUAGUAGACAGGAGCCCUGUGUUAAGUCUUUAAUGUAUAACUGGUAUUUAUGCUGCAUAGCCUAUUCUCAUUUUGAUUUGUCAGCUGACAUUUGAAAGGGAAGAUUUGAGACAAUUUAUAUGUGCAGACUGUGGCCUGUUGUGCUGAGUGACACUUCCUCCUCUGAUCCAAUUUGACACAGAGCUAUUCUAACAGCAGCAACAACAUAUUUUAAAUGCCAAAUUCAAACCCAAACAUUUUAAUUAUACCUCACGUUCAGUUACUGCCUGAAAAAUUGAAGGAUGCGUUUUGUUAAGGUGUCACUGCCUGAGCUUGACAACAAAGUCAGCAUGAUUUAAUAAACUGAUGUAAAUCCUCUCUUCAGAGAGUGCACACUCACAUAAAGCCCCUAAACAUCAAAGUCUCUCUUGUCUUGAGCUCUGUUCUACAGUCCAUCAGUGCGAGCCUUCCUUCACAAGCAGCAGAAGGAAUUCAGCAAACAUGUAGAUGUGAUUCAUUCUUAAGAUCUUCAAAUAUGUGGAUGAGUCACUGAUAAGUACAUGUAAAUUGUGCUGACCAGAUUUAGUGCAGCAACCAGCACUGGAAAUUACAGGAUGUAGCUGGGAACAGAUGAGGGAGCCUGAAAACUCUUAUAACUGAGGAAGUACAUAUAAAAAUCCCCAGCAGUCUAGAGAGUUCAUUUCACUGGAAUCACAAAAGAAAGUCUACAUAAUUAAUUUUACUAGGAUUUAGACAAGUUUAGGCCUGAUAGUUCACAACUCCUCUUUGGUGCUUUUUCAGUUUGGGAGCUCUCAACAAUUUAGGAGCAGGGGGAUGAGGAGCAAACAAAAACCCCAAACCUGUAACUUUUUGGAAGGUGAAAGGCUGUGUAUGAUAGGCAAUAUUGGCUCAUAUGUUAGCUGAGCUUUAUGUCCAUGUCUCAUC